AAAGACUUUCUUGAUUGAUGGCUGGCUGGUUGGAUAGAAGGCUGGGUUAAAUGAGUGACCAUCAUUUGUCAGAUGCUCUAGCGAAUAUCAAAGAUUUGCCCUUUGACCUCUGGAAACUUUGAUAUCAAGAUAAGUGCAGACACAAAAGAACUGUAUAGCUUCUCAAGCUUGACCCAAUCUCGAGCCUGCUCACUGUCCAUCUCGAAGCACAAUUCCUGGGAUCCAUCAAUGAUUUGUAUAUCAAUCAACCAGCUCAAUGUCUACCCAUCCCAAAGUGGCCCUCCUGGAACUGUUUUUUUUACGGGAAAAGAGGACAAAUUAAUCAAGAAUCAGGAAAGGGAAAGUGGGC
rnacentral:lncRNA from 1 species